rnacentral:rRNA from 1 species
CCAACAGGGAUUGCCUCAGUAACGGCGAGUGAAGCGGCAACAGCUCAAAUUUGAAAUCUGGCUCUUUCAGGGUCCGAGUUGUAAUUUGUAGAGGAUGCUUCGGGUGCGGCGCCGGUCUAAGUUCCUUGGAACAGGACGUCAUAGAGGGUGAGAAUCCCGUAUGUGACCGGUGACCAAGCCCGUGUGAAGCUCCUUCGACGAGUCGAGUUGUUUGGGAAUGCAGCUCUAAAUGGGUGGUAAAUUUCAUCUAAAGCUAAAUACCGGCCAGAGACCGAUAGCGCACAAGUAGAGUGAUCGAAAGAUGAAAAGCACUUUGGAAAGAGAGUUAAAAAGUACGUGAAAUUGUUGAAAGGGAAGCGCUUGCAAUCAGACUUGCCUGCAGGUGAUCAACCGUCCUUCUGGGCGGUGCACUCUCCUGCAGUCAGGCCAGCAUCGGUUUGGGCGGCUGGAUAAAGGCCCUGGGAAUGUAGCUCCUUCCGGGGAGUGUUAUAGCCCGGGGUGCAAUGCAACCAGCCCGGACCGAGGACCGCGCUUCGGCUAAGAUGCUGGCGUAAUGGUUGUAAGCGACCCGUCUUGAA